UUUGCAGUGUCUCACUUAAAUUUUUCUCUAUCUUUGUAUCUCCAUUUCAGAUAAAUUGUUAUCUUUCCAAGGGUUGAGGAGAACAUGGUCGUGGUUCAAGUGAAGCCACUACAGCCACUCCCUGACAAGCCUUCCACACCGACAGUGGCAGCAGACACACAAGAGAGGAUGGUGUGGUGGACAAGGGGAUGCAAGGAGACGGCAGACAGAAUGGAAGCUACAGAUGAAAGAAGAGCAGGUCAAGCCAUGGUAGCAGACAAACAGACAGACACAUUGGAUCAGAAAGAAGUAUUAUUAAGUGAGACAGGCCCACUGGAAGCUGUCAGUCUGCUGCGGCACGUGGCAAGAACCAAGUGUUGAGGAGCACACGUUGUCCCUUCACCAGUCAGCAGGUCUGGGCGGCUCGGAAGUCUCACUACAAACUGGAGACCCGUUCUCUUGGACACAGUAGGAGUCGGACACAAGAUUCAAGAGGGAGUCAUUUUAACGAGAGCUUCAGGCAGGAAAUUCGAGUGGAUUUUCAUUUCUAAAAAUAUCUUAUUUUUUGGUGGGAUAUUUUGAACCCUUCUUUGUGGAAAAAUAACUCAAGAUAUUAUGAUUCUAGCUGGAAGUUGACCUGAGCAAUGUAGGGUUUGCUGCUGUGUGAUUAUCACCAAGGCACAAGUGUCCGGGAUUUAAAGAUGAUGGAAAUGUGUCCUAUGUGCUGCUGUGCUGGGAAGAGGAGAGGAACAGCAGCAGUGGUGGGGCUCUGCUGCUGCUGUCACUGGUGCAGCUGCCUUCCCUCAACAUACUGUGUCUUCUCUCACCUGCAAUGAACAACUAUGAACAAUACUUUUGCGAUGAAGAACAGUAAAUAACACCUCUCCCCAUAUGGUUGCAAGUCUCUCUCUCUCUCUCUCUCUCUCUCUCUCUCUCUCUCUCUCUCUCUCUCUCUCUCUCUCUCUCUCUCU